UACGUAGGGAGCAAGCGUUGUCCGGAUUUACUGGGUGUAAAGGGUGCGUAGGCGGCUUGGUAAGUCAGAUGUGAAAUGUAGAGGCUCAACCUCUGAACUGCAUUUGAAACUAUCGAGCUUGAGUGAAGUAGAGGCAGGCGGAAUUCCCUGUGUAGCGGUGAAAUGCGUAGAGAUAGGGAGGAACACCAGUGGCGAAGGCGGCCUGCUGGGCUUUAACUGACGCUGAGGCACGAAAGCGUGGGUAGCAAAC
rnacentral:rRNA from 1 species